rnacentral:lncRNA from 1 species
AUUCAAUCACUACAUCCUGAUCAACACUCACCAGAGGUAUGGCUUCGAUCCACUUAGUAAAGUAGUUUAUACCCACUAGGAUGUGCUUAUGAUUUUUUGAAGUUGUUGGUCGAAUCUCCCCAACCAAAUCCAAUGCCUAACCUCUGAAGGGCCAAGGAUUCAUAAUAGAGUGUAAUUCACUUGCAGGAACAUGUUGUAUACCCGCAUGCCUUUGGAACUUCUGGCAUCCUUUGGUGAACUCGAUAC